GCUGGGUGCAGUGGCAUGUGCCUGUAAUCCCAACUACUUGGGAGGUUGAGGCAGGAGAAUUGCUUGAGCCCAGGAGGUGGAGGUUGCAGUGAGCCAAGAUCGCACCACUGCACUCCAGCCUGGGCAACAGAGCAAGACUCUGUCUCAA
rnacentral:SRP_RNA from 2 species